AAACUUCCCACUCGCCCCCCUCCCACUUGUGGGAGCCGGCUCCAGCCCUAGUGCUGGGCCUGGGAGCGGAUUUGGCUUUCCCACGCCCCGUGCGUGGGUUGGCUGAAAAGCAGAGGCUAGAGCAGGGACCCGUUAUGGGGCUCAACUGGAUAGGUAUGCUGGGUGCCUCAGGGCGCCUGCUAAACGAAGUUGAUGCCUUGUGGCCCUUUGCUGGCGGCCUGCAGGAAACGAGCGGUGUGUGGUGGCGGCUUAAUUGCUCCCACGGCACCCGCCGUACAAUCAUUG
rnacentral:misc_RNA from 1 species